AUAGCUCAGUAAAACUAGGCUCAUUUAACCUCGCGAUGUGAUAACCUGGAGAAAUUCAGGCUAAGGGCGAGGAUAAGGCUUAGCACUAUCAGCUAGUCGGUAGUGUAAUGGACUACCGAGGCGACGACGGUUAACGGGACACGAGAGUGUGAUACCGGAGAGGGAGCCUGAGAGACUGCUCCCACGUCCAAGGACGGCAGCAGGCGCGAAAAUUGUCCACUCUUUGCAGGAGACAGUUAUGAAAAGUAAAAACGAUAGGUCUUGUAAAGAAAGAUUCUAAAAUUGGAGGGCAAGUUU
rnacentral:rRNA from 1 species